AUUGAACGCUGGCGGAAUGCUUUACACAUGCAAGUCGAGCGGCAGCGCGGGGCAACCUGGCGGCGAGCGGCGAACGGGUGAGUAAUACAUCGGAACGUACCCAGUUGUGGGGGAUAGCCCGGCGAAAGCCGGAUUAAUACCGCAUACGACCUGAGGGUGAAAGGGGGGGAUCGCAAGACCUCUCGCAGUUGGAGCGGCCGAUGGCGGAUUAGCUAGUUGGUAGGGUAAAGGCCUACCAAGGCGACGAUCCGUAGCGGGUCUGAGAGGACGACCCGCCACACUGGAACUGAGACACGGUCCAGACUCCUACGGGAGGCAGCAGUGGGGAAUUUUGGACAAUGGGGGCAACCCUGAUCCAGCCAUUCCGCGUGAGUGAAGAAGGCCUUCGGGUUGUAAAGCUCUUUCGGCAGGAACGAAGCGGUCCUUUCCAAUACAAAGGGCUAAUGACGGUACCUGAAGAAGAAGCACCGGCUAACUACGUGCCAGCCGCCGCAGUAA
rnacentral:rRNA from 1 species